rnacentral:rRNA from 1 species
AGAGUUUGAUCCUGGCUCAGAACGAACGCUGGCGGCAUGCCUAACACAUGCAAGUCGAACGAAGGCUUCGGCCUUAGUGGCGCACGGGUGCGUAACGCGUGGGAAUCUGCCCUUGGGUCUGGGAUAACAGUUGGAAACGACUGCUAAUACCGGAUGAUAUCGCGAGAUCAAAGAUUUAUCGCCCGAGGAUGAGCCCGCGUUGGAUUAGCUAGUUGGUGGGGUAAAGGCCUACCAAGGCGACGAUCCAUAGCUGGUCUGAGAGGAUGAUCAGCCACACUGGGACUGAGACACGGCCCAGACUCCUACGGGAGGCAGCAGUGGGGAAUAUUGGACAAUGGGCGAAAGCCUGAUCCAGCAAUGCCGCGUGAGUGAUGAAGGCCUUAGGGUUGUAAAGCUCUUUUACCCGGGAAGAUAAUGACUGUACCGGGAGAAUAAGCUCCGGCUAACUCCGUGCCAGCCGCCGCGGUAAUUC